ACGUAGGGUGCAAGCGUUGUCCGGAUUUAUUGGGCGUAAAGGGCUCGUAGGCGGUCUGUCGCGUCGGAUGUGAAAACUCGGAGCUUAACUCCGGGCCUGCAUUCGAUACGGGCAGACUAGAGUUCGGUAGGGGAGAUUGGAAUUCCUGGUGUAGCGGUGGAAUGCGCAGAUAUCAGGAGGAACACCGAUGGCGAAGGCAGAUCUCUGGGCCGAUACUGACGCUGAGGAGCGAAAGCAUGGGGAGCAAACAGG
rnacentral:rRNA from 1 species